rnacentral:rRNA from 1 species
GACAGAGGAGGCGAGCGGUAUCCGGAGUCAUUGGGCGUAAAGGGUACGUAGGCGGCUAGUCAAGUCUGAGGUUAAAGACCACAGCUUAACUGUGGGAAGGCCUUGGAAACUGACUGGCUAGAGUAGGGCAGGGGUUGCGGGAAUUCCCGGUGUAGCGGUGAAAUGCGUAGAUAUCGGGAAGAACACCUGAGGCGAAAGCGCGCAACUGGGCCCUGACUGACGCUGAGGUACGAAAGCUAGGGUAGCGAAUGGG